rnacentral:rRNA from 1 species
GGCGAAAGGGUGAGGAAUAGAUAGGAACGUACCCCGAACUCCUGGAUAGCGUCCGAAAGGGUCAUUAAUACAGGAUAAUCUCGAGAGAGCAAAGAUUAUCGGUUUGGGAGCGGCCUAUCUCCUAUCAGCUUGUUGGUGAGGUAAUGGCUCACCAAGGCGACGACGGGUAGCGGGACUGAGAGGUUGGCCCGCCACAUCGGGACUGAGACACUGCCCGGACCUCCACGGAGGGCUGCAGUAACGAAUAUUGGGCAAUGGGCGAAAGCCUGACCCAGCAAUGCCGCGUGCAGGAUGAAGCCCCUCGGGGUGUAAACUGCUGUCAGGGGUAAGAAAGCCUUCGGGUUGAUCAGCCCCAGAGGAAGUCACGGCUAACUUCGUGCCAGCAGCCGCGGUAAUACGAAGGUGGCGAGCGUUGUUCGGAAUCACUGGGCUUAAAGCGCGCGUAGGCGGAAAAGUAAGUGUCUUGUGAAAUCCCCCGGCUCAACCGGGGAAUUGCUGGGCAAACUGCUUUUCUUGAGGCAGGUAGGGGUGCAUGGAACUCUUGGUGGAGCGGUGGAAUGCGUAGAUAUCAAGAGGAACGCCAGAGGUGAAGACGGUGCACUGGGCCUGUCCUGACGCUGAGGUGCGAAAGCGUGGGGAGCGAACGGGAUUAGAUACCCCGGUAGUCCACGCCGUAAACGAUGCCUACUAGGUUGUGGGAGUUCUGACGCUUUCACGGCCGAAGCAAAAGUGUUUAGUAGGCCGCCUGGGGAGUACGGUCGCAAGGCUAAAACUCAAAGGAAUUGACGGGGGCUCACACAAGCGGUGGAGCAUGUGGAUUAAUUCGAAGCAACGCGCAGAACCUUACCUGGGUUUGACAUGUAUGGAUGCCUGCUGUGAAAACAGUUAGGCUGCCUUCGGGUGAAACUUACACAGGUGCUGCAUGGCUGUCGUCAGCUCGUGUCGUGAGAUGUCGGGUUAAGUCCUUUAACGAGCGAAACCCUUGCCGUUAGUUGCCAGCGGGUCAUGCCGGGGACUCUAACGGGACUGCCGGUGUUAAACCGGAGGAAGGUGGGGAUGACGUCAAGUCCUCAUGGCCUUUAUGCCCAGGGCCUCACACGUGCUACAAUGGCGACUACAGAGCGACGCGAUGCCGCGAGGUGGAGCAAAUCGCAAAAAAGUCGCCUCAGUUCGGAUUGCAGGCUGGCAACUCGCCUGCAUG